GGCGAAGUAGCAAAGUGGUUACUGCGAGUGACUAGAAGAUUAUAGGUGUAUCAACCUUUAAUACAAGAUAUCACUUCCCUUCGGGGGCGUAGGUUCGAAUCCUGCCUUCGUCG
rnacentral:tRNA from 1 species